rnacentral:rRNA from 1 species
UACGGAGGAUCCGAGCGUUAUCCGGAUUUAUUGGGUUUAAAGGGAGCGUAGGCGGGAAGUCAAGUCAGCUGUGAAAUGUAGGCGCUCAACGCCUGCACUGCAGUUGAAACUGGUUUUCUUGAGUGCGUAAGGGGCAGGCGGAAUUCGUCGUGUAGCGGUGAAAUGCUUAGAUAUGACGAAGAACUCCGAUCGCGAAGGCAGCUUGCCGGGCCGCAACUGACGCUGAAGCUCGAAGGUGCGGGUAU